rnacentral:rRNA from 1 species
UACGUAGGUGGCAAGCGUUGUCCGGAAUUAUUGGGCGUAAAGCGCGCGCAGGCGGUUCUUUAAGUCUGAUGUGAAAGCCCACGGCUCAACCGUGGAGGGUCAUUGGAAACUGGAGAACUUGAGUACAGAAGAGGAAAGCGGAAUUCCACGUGUAGCGGUGAAAUGCGUAGAGAUGUGGAGGAACACCAGUGGCGAAGGCGGCUUUCUGGUCUGUAACUGACGCUGAGGCGCGAAAGCGUGGGAAGCAAACAGG